rnacentral:rRNA from 1 species
CCUACGGGCGGCAGCAGUGAGGAAUAUUGGACAAUGGGCGCGAGCCUGAACCAGCCAAGUAGCGUGAAGGAUGACUGCCCUACGGGUUGUAAACUUCUUUUAUAAAGGAAUAAAGUGAGGCACGUGUGCCUUUUUGUAUGUACUUUUUGAAUAAGGAUCGGCUAACUCCGUGCAAGCCGCCGCGGUAAUCCGGAGGAUGCGAGCGUUAUCCGGAUUUAUUGGGUUUAAAGGGUGCGCAGGCGGAAGAGCAAGUCAGCGGUAAAAUUGAGAGGCUCAACCUCUUCGAGCCGUUGAAACGGGUGUUCUUGAGUGAGUGAGAAGUAUGCGGAAUGCGUGGUGUAGCGGUGAAAUGCAUAGAUAUCACGCAGAACUCCGAUUGCGAAGGCAGCAUACCGGCGCUCAACUGACGCUCAUGCACGAAAGUGUGGGUAUCGAACAGGAUUAGAUACCCGUGUAGUC